UACGUAGGGCGCAAGCGUUGUCCGGAAUUAUUGGGCGUAAAGAGCUCGUAGGCGGUUUGUCGCGUCUGGUGUGAAAACUCAAGGCUCACCUUGAGCUUGCAUCGGGUACGGGCAGACUAGAGUGUGGUAGGGGUGACUGGAAUUCCUGGUGUAGCGGUGAAAUGCGCAGAUAUCAGGAGGAACACCGGUGGCGAAGGCGGGUCUCUGGGCCGAUAUUGACGCUGAGGAGCGAAAGCGUGGGGAGCGAACAGG
rnacentral:rRNA from 1 species